UCCAACCGUUCCGGGUCUGAAAGAUCACAGGUGCCGCACUGAAGGGGAACGGGCUGCUUACAUCUUGUGUAAUUAGACUGGUCUCUCUCCAGCUGAAGCUGUGAUUGGGCCCAUGAGUAAGAGGCAGAAUUGGGGGGUCUACCAGCUGCCAUGUUCCCGUCUCCCCUUGCUCCUCACACGAACAGAGACCCAGGGUUCUGAGGGGAAAGGCCUUGAAUCUGCCGGGUACAAGCCUCCAAAGAAGAAGCAUGUGCCACAAACAGAAUGUUGUUUCCUGACAAAGGAAGAAGAAAAGGACACAAG